rnacentral:rRNA from 1 species
UGUGCCUACCCUACGCCGGCAGGCGCGGGUAACCCGUUGAACCCCAUUCGUGAUGGGGAUCGGGGAUUGCAAUUAUUCCCCAUGAACGAGGAAUUCCCAGUAAGUGCGGGUCAUAAGCUUGCGUUGAUUAAGUCCCUGCCCUUUGUACACACCGCCCGUCGCUACUACCGAUUGGAUGGUUUAGUGAGGCCCUCGGAUCGGCCCCGCCGGGGUCGGCCCACGGCCCUGGCGGAGCGCUGAGAAGACGGUCGAACUUGACUAUCUAGAGGAAGUAAAAGUCGUAACAAGGUUUCCGUAGGUGAACCUGCAGAAGGAUC